rnacentral:lncRNA from 1 species
CUGCCUACAAUUGUCAGGUAAAUAUACAGGAAUGUUUAUGUCAAAAUAACACAUAAUCAUCUUCAAAAUUAUUAAAAAAGAAACACACACGCCAUUUCUGCUCUUCAUUAUCAACAAGGCAACAGGCCAACAACUAUGCAUGCUGGGUGUCAUGGAAGAAAUCGAUCCAGCAAGCAAAACAACAGCGGGAGAUCCAUGCUGGGUGCCCACGGCUCUUGCUG